rnacentral:rRNA from 1 species
AACGCUGGCGGCGCGCUUAACACAUGCAAGUCGCACGAGAAAGGGAGCAAUCCUAAGUAAAGUGGCGCACGGGUGAGUAACACGUGGAUCAUCUACCUUUUAGUGGGGAAUACCUCUGGGAAACCGGAGACAAUACCGCAUAAGCCUGUAAAGGGAAAGCAGCAAUGCGCUGAAAGAGGAGUCCGCGGCCGAUUAGCUAGUUGGCGGGGUAACGGCCCACCAAGGCGAAGAUCGGUAGCCGGCCUGAGAGGGCACACGGCCACACUGGCACUGAAACACGGGCCAGACUCCUACGGGAGGCAGCAGUGGGGAAUCUUGCACAAUGGGCGAAAGCCUGAUGCAGCGACGCCGCGUGAGCGAUGAAGCCCUUCGGGGUGUAAAGCUCUUUCGACGGGAACGAUAAUGACGGUACCCGGAGAAGAAGCUGCGGCUAACUACGUGCCAGCAGCCGCGGUAAUACGUAGGCAGCGAGCGUUGUUCGGAAUUACUGGGCGUAAAGAGUGUGUAGGCGGUGUUCCCAGUCUGUUGUGAAAUCUCCCGGCUUAACUGGGAGGGUGCAGCGGAAACUAGAAUGCUAGAGGGUGGGAGAGGUAAGCGGAAUUCCUGGUGUAGCGGUGAAAUGCGUAGAUAUCAGGAGGAACACCUGUGGUGUAGACAGCUUACUGGACCACUUCUGACGCUGAGACACGAAAGCGUGGGUAGCAAACAGGAUUAGAUACCCUGGUAGUCCACGCCCUAAACGAUGCAUACUUGGUGUGAGCGAUUCAUUUCGUUCGUGCCGGAGCUAACGCGUUAAGUAUGCCGCCUGGGGAGUACGGUCGCAAGGCUGAAACUCAAAGGAAUUGACGGGGGCCCGCACAAGCGGUGGAGCAUGUGGUUCAAUUCGACGCAACGCGAAGAACCUUACCUGGGCUCGAAAUGCUAUGGACAGUCUGUGAAAGCAGAUCUUCUCGCAAGAGACCGUAGUAUAGGUGCUGCAUGGCUGUCGUCAGCUCGUGUCGUGAGAUGUUGGGUUAAGUCCCGCAGCGAGCGCAACCCCUGUCCUGUGUUGCCACUCCCGUAAGGGAAGCACUCUCAGGAGACCGCCAGCGAUAAGUUGGAGGAAGGUGGGGAUGAUGUCAAGUCAUCAUGGCCUUUAUGUCCAGGGCUACACACGUGCUACAAUGGACGGUACAAAGCGCUGCAAACCCGCGAGGGGGAGCCAAUCGCAAAAAACCGUUCUCAGUUCGGAUCGCAGGCUGCAACUCGCCUGCGUGAAGCUGGAAUCGCUAGUAAUGGCGUAUCAGAACGAUGCCGUGAAUACGUUCCCGGGCCUUGUACACACCGCCCGUCACAUCACGAAAGUGGAUUGUACUAGAAGUCCUAAUCAAACAGGCCCAAGGUGUGAUUCAUGAUUGGGGUG